GUGAGGAAUAUUGGUCAAUGGGCGAGAGCCUGAACCAGCCAAGUCGCGUGAAGGAAGAAGGAUCUAUGGUUCGUAAACUUCUUUUGCAGGGGAAUAAAGUGCGGGACGUGUCCUGUUUUGUAUGUACCCUGAGAAUAAGGAUCGGCUAACUCCGUGCCAGCAGCCGCGGUAAUACGGAGGAUCCGAGCGUUAUCCGGAUUUAUUGGGUUUAAAGGGUGCGUAGGUGGUGUGAUAAGUUAGCGGUGAAAGUUUGCAGCUUAACUUGAAAAAUGCCGUUGAAACUGUCGGACUUGAGUGUAAAUGAGGUAGGCGGAAUGCGUGGUGUAGCGGUGAAAUGCAUAGAUAUCACGCAGAACUCCGAUUGCGAAGGCAGCUUACUAAGCUACAACUGACACUGAAGCACGAAAGCGUGGGGAUCAAACAGGAUUAGAUACCCGUGUAGUCC
rnacentral:rRNA from 1 species